AGCAGCCGCGGUAAUUCCAGCUCCAAUAGCGUAUAUUAAAGUUGUUGCAGUUAAAAAGCUCGUAGUUGAAUUUUGGGGUCAGUGAGCUGGUCGUGCCACUGGUAUGCACUGGCUUUACUGAUUCCUCCUUCUUGAAGAACUGUAAUGCUAUUAAUUUAGUGUUGCAGGGAAACAGGACUGUUACUUUGAAAAAUUAGAGUGUUUAAAGCAGGCUAACGCUUGAAUACAUUAGCAUGGAAUAAUGAAAUAGGACGUUUGAUCCUAUUUUGUUGGUUUCUAGGAUUGACGUAAUGAUUAAUAGGGAUAGUUGGGGGCAUUAGUAUUCAAUUGUCAGAGGUGAAAUUCUUGGAUUUAUUGAAGACUGACUACUGCGAAAGCAUUUGCCUAAGGAUGU
rnacentral:rRNA from 1 species